CAGCUUCAACACUGUAAUCUGAAGCAAGGUAAAGAACAUCGCACAGUUACAACUGACCAUGCCCCGUCUGACAGAAACACAUCCUAUAAUGCAGAGUAUAACUGACAAUAAUCUUGAGAAGCUCCAGAAAUUACUCAAGGAUGAAAAAAAGAAUGAACUUUACCCCAGCAUUCAGUGGGGUCCUAUAACCCCACUGAUUGCUGCUAUCGUAAAUCACAACAUGGAGAUUUUUACUUACCUUUUGGGUCAGGAUGCGGACCCAAAUAGUCCUUCUGAUGGUUACCGUACUCCUUUGCAUUAUGUCUUAUUUUCCAAGGCACCAGUUUUCUUUG